rnacentral:rRNA from 1 species
UACGUAGGGCGCAAGCGUUGUCCGGAAUUAUUGGGCGUAAAGAGCUCGUAGGCGGCUUGUCACGUCGGAUGUGAAAGCCCGGGGCUUAACUCCGGGUCUGCAUUCGAUACGGGCUGGCUAGAGUGUGGUAGGGGAGAUCGGAAUUCCUGGUGUAGCGGUGAAAUGCGCAGAUAUCAGGAGGAACACCGGUGGCGAAGGCGGAUCUCUGGGCCAUUAUUGACGCUGAGGAGCGAAAGCGUGGGGAGCGAACAGG